rnacentral:rRNA from 1 species
UACGGAGGGGGCUAGCGUUGUUCGGAAUUACUGGGCGUAAAGCGCACGUAGGCGGCUUUGUAAGUUAGAGGUGAAAGCCCGGGGCUCAACUCCGGAAUUGCCUUUAAGACUGCAUCGCUAGAAUUGUGGAGAGGUAAGUGGAAUUCCGAGUGUAGAGGUGAAAUUCGUAGAUAUUCGGAGGAACACCAGUGGCGAAGGCGACUUACUGGACACAUAUUGACGCUGAGGUGCGAAAGCGUGGGGAGCGAACAGG